GCUGCAUAGCUCAGUUGGUUAGAGCGUGGUGCUGAUAAUGCCAAAGUUGCAGGUUGAAUCCCUGUAUGGUGUGGGAAUGUUCA